rnacentral:rRNA from 1 species
AUCGAACGCUGGCGGCAGGCCUAACACAUGCAAGUCGAACGAGUGGCGGACGGGUGCGUAAUGUCUGGGAACCUGCCUGAUGGAGGGGGAUCACUACUGGAAACGGUAGCUAAUACCGCAUACCAUCGGAUGUGCCCAGAUGUGAUUAGCUAGGAGGUGGGGUAAAGGCUUACCGAGGCGACGAUCCCUAGCUGGUCUGAGAGGAUGACCAUCCACACUGGAACUGAGACACGGUCCAGACUCCUACGGGAGGCACCAGUGGGGAAUAUGGCACAAUGGGCGCAAGCCUGAUGCAGCCAGGCCGCGUGUAUGAAGAAGGCCGUCGGGUUGUAAAGUACGUUCAGCGGGGAGGCGUUACCCGCAGAAGAAGCACCGGCUAACUCCGUGCCAGCAGCCGCGGUAAUAC